UGGGGAAUAUUGCACAAUGGGGGAAACCCUGAUGCAGCAACGCCGCGUGAGUGAUGAAGGCCUUCGGGUUGUAAAGCUCUGUCUUUGGGGACGAUAAUGACGGUACCCAAGGAGGAAGCCACGGCUAACUACGUGCCAGCAGCCGCGGUAAUAAGUAGGUGGCAAGCGUUGUCCGGAUUUACUGGGCGUAAAGGGAGCGUAGGUGGAUAUUUAAGUGGGAUGUGAAAUCCCCGGGCUUAACCUGGGGGCUGCAUUCCAAACUGUAUGUCUAGAGUGCAGGAGAGGAGAGUGGAAUUCCUAGUGUAGCGGUGAAAUGCGUAGAGAUUAGGAAGAACACCAGUGGCGAAGGCGACUCUCUGGACUGUAACUGACACUGAGGCUCGAAAGCGUGGGGAGCAAACA
rnacentral:rRNA from 1 species